rnacentral:rRNA from 1 species
UGCAUCGGAACGUGCCCAGUAGUGGGGGAUAGCCCGGCGAAAGCCGGAUUAAUACCGCAUACGACCUCAGGGUGAAAGCGGGGGAUCGCAAGACCUCGCGCUAUUGGAGCGGCCGAUGUCAGAUUAGGUUGUUGGUGAGGUAAAAGCUCACCAAGCCGACGAUCUGUAGCUGGUCUGAGAGGACGACCAGCCACACUGGGACUGAGACACGGCCCAG